CUGCAGCCCGAGUGGUGAUCGAUUUUAUUGAGCCUAAAGCGUCCGUAGCCGGACUAGUAAACCCUUGGGUAAAUUGGGCAGCUUAACUGUCCAAAUUCCGAGGGGACUGCUAGUCUUGGGACCGGGAGAGGUCAGAGGUACUCAAGGGGUAGGGGCUAAAUCCUGUAAUCCUUUGGGGACCACCAGUGGCGAAGGCGUCUGACUAGAACGGAUCCGACGGUAAGGGACGAAACCCUGGGGCGCGAACCGGAUUAGAUACCCGUGUAGCC
rnacentral:rRNA from 1 species